rnacentral:rRNA from 1 species
CUCGGAUCAGGUAGGGAUACCCGCUGAACUUAAGCAUAUCAAUAAGCGGAGGAAAAGAAACCAACCGGGAUUGCCUCAGUAACGGCGAGUGAAGCGGCAAGAGCUCAAAUUUGAAAGCUGGCUCCUUCGGGGUCCGCAUUGUAAUUUGCAGAGGAUGCUUCGGGUGCGGCCCCUGUGUAAGUGCCCUGGAACGGGCCGUCAGAGAGGGUGAGAAUCCCGUCUGGGAUGGGGGGGUCC